AAGCUCGUAGUUGAAUUUCGUGAUUAGUACGUCGGUCAUGCCUUAGGUACGUACUGGUGUUACUGGUUCCUACCUUCUGACGAACCAUCAUGUCAUUAAUUUGGUGUGGUGGGGAAUCAGGACAGUUACUUUGAAAAAAUUAGAGUGUUUAAAGCAGGCUCGCGCUUGAAUACAUUAGCAUGGAAUAAUGAAAUAGGACGUUGAUCCUAUUUUGUUGGUUUCUAGGAUUGACGUAAUGAUUAAUAGGGAUAGUUGGG
rnacentral:rRNA from 1 species